rnacentral:rRNA from 1 species
GAUUUCUGGUUCGGCGCACUUGGCCCUGUCCCGGUUUCCGGGCUGCGUGCUGGUGUGCGCCAUCCAUCCUUCGAGAACGCAUAUCUUCCGCAAGGUUGGUAUGUUAUCUCGAUCUUUUACUUUGAAAAAAUUAGAGUGUUUAAAGCAGGCUUGCGCUAUGAAUACAUUAGCAUGGAAUAAUAAUUUAGGACUUUGGUCUUAUUUUGUUGGUUUCUAGGACUAAAGUAAUGAUUGAUAGGGACAGUUGGGGGUGCUAGUAUUCAGCGGCCAGAGGUGAAAUUCUUGGAUUCGCUGAAGACUAACUUAUGCGAAAGCAUU